UACGGAGGGGGCUAGCGUUGUUCGGAAUUACUGGGCGUAAAGCGCGUGUAGGCGGCUUUGCAAGUCGGAUGUGAAAUCCCACGGCUCAACCGUGGAAGUGCAUCCGAAACUGCAUCGCUGGAGUCUCGGAGAGGAAGGUGGAAUGCUUGGUGUAGAGGUGAAAUUCGUAGAUAUCAAGCAGAACACCUGCGGCGAAGGCGGCCUUCUGGACGAUGACUGACGCUGAGACGCGAAAGCGUGGGGAGCAAACAGG
rnacentral:rRNA from 1 species